rnacentral:rRNA from 1 species
UACGGAGGAUCCAAGCGUUAUCCGGAUUUAUUGGGUUUAAAGGGUGCGUAGGCGGCCUGUUAGGUCAGGGGUGAAAGACGGUAGCUCAACUAUCGCAGUGCCCUUGAUACUGAUGGGCUUGAAUGGACUAGAGGUAGGCGGAAUGAGACAAGUAGCGGUGAAAUGCAUAGAUAUGUCUCAGAACACCGAUUGCGAAGGCAGCUUACUAUGGUCUUAUUGACGCUGAGGAGCGAAAGCGUGGGGAGCGAACAGG